UUUAGAUUCCCGCUCGCCUGAAUCUCCUGCUUCAAUAGAGCACCCAGAGAAGUGAUGUCUUGAUAAAGCUGCAGGGCAGGUCUACGAGUCUAUAAAGUCCCGCUGCAGGCGUCAGAGAUCGAUGCACCUGUGUGAAGGUGGCGGGACACGAGGGAUGGAGGGCUGGGAGGAGUCCAGGAAGACGUGCGGGCCAGAAGGCUGUAUGAAAGUUGGGACGGCUCCAGGAGAAGGGUGGGGCCUCACCGUCGCUUUGUUGUCCGCCUUUGUAUUCACUACCUGAGGGUUCAACAAUUGAGCAGCGAAUAUAUUGAAGAGUGUGUGUGACAUCUUUUCUUUCAUCAAAGCAGCUGCACUUCAGACACCACAAUAUGAUCUAUAAAAUGAAUUGUUUUGGGAUUACCCCCUGCUUUAAUCUAUGAACCACAUCACUGACAAGAACAGUAGAUGAAAGGGGAGUUGGUUUAUGAUUCAAUAGAAGCUACAUCCAAUACAAAACAUUUGAAAAAUACUCUGUACAUCUUCAAUCUGGAGUUCAUUAUUAGUAAAUAUCUCAUUGAUAUUCAUUCCAGACAGCAUGAGCUUCCAUUUGUAGGAAACUACAGCCAUGCCUCUGCACCGCUAAAUGAGCAUCUCCUGGUCUGUGGUUUCAAAGAUCUGUCAUGAUGGCUUUAAGGAUUCUGACGGGUAUCUUGCGGCUAUUUUAAAUCACCGACAAGUUCUUCCUCAUACUGGAAAUUACAAAAUGAGAGUGGAACAUUCUGCUUUCGCUCGAGAGGAUUUGUAAUUUGCUGUAAUGGCUGACACAUGUACCCGCCAUCAGCAGGCCUCAGGCUAUGGAAAUCUCUAUCAGCGAUUCACACAGAGAUGCAGCAGCAGCAGCGCCUACCUGCCUGCUGCUGUCACGGCUGGAUAUAUAAUGUCUGGACUGCACGCACGCAUCCCUAACGGCCCUACACAUGAAUGUGAGCACACGGUUAAGUGUACAAAGACAAUUACGGUGCCUCAAAUUGCAAACUUCCCUACACACACUUGUUAUUUAGAGUGCAUGAGGUGUGUUCACACCAUAGACUGUAUAAAAAGAUGGACAAAUUGUUCUCCAUUUCCUUCCAUUAUCCAGGAAUGAAGCCAAAAUAUUCCGGAUAGGAACGCUGCCAUCUUGCACAUUUGGAGCAAGAGUCUGCACAGUAGCUAUUGGGGGGGCUGGAGCCAUGGUAGAGAUGUCCCACUGAUACACAUACUCAAUCAAUCGCUAGUCAGUCUCAGCUGUCAAUCAUGAAGUUUCACCCUGUUUUUAUAGAACUCAUUA